rnacentral:rRNA from 1 species
AAUAUUUCACAAUGGAGGGAACUCUGAUGCAGCAAUGCCGCGUGAGUGAAGAAGGUUUNCGGAUCNUNAAACUCUGUCAUUGGGGNAGAAUAAAUGACGGUACCCAAUGAGGAGGCCCCGGCUAACUACGUUCCAGCAGCCGCGGUAAUACGUAGGGGGCGAGCGUUGUCCGGAAUUACUGGGCGUAAAGGGUAAGUAGGCGGCUAUAUAAGUCAGGUGUGAAAUACCAGUGCUUAACACUGGAAUUGCAUUUGAAACUGUGUAGCUUGAGUGCAGGAGAGGAAAGUGGAAUUCCUAGUGUAGCGGUGAAAUGCGUAGAGAUUAGGAGGAACACCAGUGGCGAAGGCGACUUUCUGGACUGUAACUGACGCUGAGGUACGAAAGCGUGGGUAGCGAACA